rnacentral:rRNA from 1 species
GUUAGGAAUAUUGGACAAUGGGCGCAAGCCUGAUCCAGCCAUGCCGCGUGAGUGAUGAAGGCCUUCGGGUCGUAAAGCUCUUUAGCCGAUGAUUAUAAUGACUGUAGUCGGAAAAUAAGCCCCGGCUAACUUCGUGCCAGCAGCCGCGGUAAUACGAAGGGGGCGAGCGUUAUUCGGAAUCACUGGGCGUAAAGCGUGCGUAGGCGGCUUUGCAAGUUGGGAGUGAAAGCCCAGGGCUCAACCCUGGAAUUGCUCUCAAAACUGCAAGGCUCGAAUUCGGGAGAGGAUAGCGGAAUUGUCAGUGUAGCAGUGAAAUGCGUAGAUAUUGACAGGAACACCAGUGGCGUAAGCGGCUAUCUGGACCGAUAUUGACGCUGAGGCACGAAAGCGUGGGGAUCAAACAGGAUUAGAUACCCGAGUAGUCC